rnacentral:rRNA from 1 species
AUUGAACGCUGGCGGCAGGCUUAACACAUGCAAGUCGAGCGGGGGAAGGUAGCUUGCUACUGGACCUAGCGGCGGACGGGUGAGUAAUGCUUAGGAAUCUGCCUAUUAGUGGGGGACAACAUCUCGAAAGGGACGCUAAUACCGCAUACGUCCUACGGGAGAAAGCAGGGGAUCUUCGGACCUUGCGCUAAUAGAUGAGCCUAAGUCGGAUUAGCUAGUUGGUGGGGUAAAGGCCUACCAAGGCGACGAUCUGUAGCGGGUCUGAGAGGAUGAUGCGCCACACUGGGACUGGGACACGGCCCAGACUCCUACGGGAGGCAGCAGUGGGGAAUAUUGGACCAUGGGGGGAACCCUGAUCAAGCCAUGCCGCGUGUGUGAAGAAGGCCUUAUGGUUGUAAAGCACUUUAAGCGAGGAGGAGGCUACUCUAGUUAAUACCUAGGGAUAGUGGACGUUACUCGCAGAAUAAGCACCGGCUAACUCUGUGCCAGCCGCCGCGGUAA